UUGAUCCCGAAGACUUUCCUUGAUUAUAAUUGUGGAAAGAAGAAAAUAAUUAAAUAAAUAAAAAUUGGCAAAGAUUUCUCCUCCUCCAUCUUAACGCGUCUUCUUCUUCCUCCCCUCCCCUGAUAUGCAAAUCCUUUUCCUAAAUUAAACCACCAAUCAGCCUUUAAUUCCAAUUAUUUGAGAAUCAAUUGCCACAAAUUUCUCUUAUAAAACCUAGUCUUCAUACCCUAAUCUCCCACCGGCGCUCUCACUCACGUAACAAAAUUCUUUCACAAUCUCAAAUACUCCAACUGUGAGAAAUACGACAGAGAGAAAGAGAGCAGCGAAGAAGACGAACUAUCCGACGCCUUCAUCUCCUUCCCACUCUAAAUUCCGAAACUUGAAGGGGAGAAAAGAACAGGAACAACAACUCUUUCAUUCACUAAUCUGCAUCAUGUACAGACGGUCUGCCGGAGCGGCGAUGUAGCGACCGCUGCAGCGCCGAACGUCUUGGAUCAGGCGAAUGCCCGGCGAGAUCUUGUUCGACGACGGCGGCUGUUUCUCAGUUGUGUAUUCUUAAAUUUGGGAGUUUGUUAUAAACUGUGAUGGGAGUUUACGUGUAUGUUGGGAAUGGGGGUGUACUUUUUAUUCUUUAUUAAAUUCAUUUUACUUUUAUAUUGUAAAGGGAUGUGGUUUGUUAAAUUAA